rnacentral:tRNA from 1 species
ACUAUCUUGGCAGAUUAGUGCUAUAAAUUUAGAAUUUAUAUAUGUAAUAUACUUUACAGAUAGUA